UUCUUGGUCAUUUAGAGGAAGUAAAAGUCGUAACAAGGUUUCCGUAGGUGAACCUGCGGAAGGAUCAUUAUCGUAUAAUGGAGGUGCUAGGGCUGUCGCUAACUUUGUGCACGCCCCAGUGCUCUCUCACAAUCCAUCUCACAACCCUUUGUGCAUCACCGCGUGGGUGCUCUCCUUUUGGUUCAUUCUAAAAGGGGGCAUUUGCGCUUUUAUAUAGACCCACCGCAUGUGUAGAAUGUCUUACUAUUUGCGAUAAUACGCAAUCAAUACAACUUUCAACAACGGAUCUCUUGGCUCUCGCAUCGAUGAAGAACGCAGCGAAAUGCGAUACGUAAUGUGAAUUGCAGAAUUCAGUGAAUCAUCGAAUCUUUGAACGCACCUUGCGCCCCUUGGAAUUCCGAGGGGCACACCCGUUUGAGUGUCGUGAACAUCCUUCAACCUUUCUUGGUUUCUUGACCAAGUAAGGCUUGGACUUUGGGGGUUAUUCAUUGCUGGCCUCUUUUGAAGCCAGCUCCUCCUAAAUGGAUUAGUGGGGUCUGCUUUGCCAAUCCUUGACGUGAUAAGAUGUUUCUACGUUUUGGGUUUCGCACUGUCACUUCGGACUCUGCUUCUAACCGUCUUGCAUUCAGGACAGAGUUAUGAACCUUGACCUCAAAUCGGGUGAGACUACCCGCUGAACUUAAGCAUAUCAAUAAGCGGAGGAAAAGAAACUAACAAGGAUUCCCCUAGUAACUGCGAGUGAAGCGGGAAAAGCUCAAAUUUAAAAUCUGGUGGCCCUUUUGCCAUCCGAGUUGUAAUUUAAAAA
rnacentral:rRNA from 1 species